UGAUACAUGCUGAGUCCACAAGAGGGCACUGUGCCACACCGACAAAGUGGAUUUUUGUUUUCACCUCGGCCACACAAGGUUUCUUUACAAGUCCUGGGCCAAGCAGGCUCCAGGGAGAGGAUAUACCACACUGAACUUUCUAUGGAACUGAGGAAUGAGGUUUUGGAUCUCCUUGCCCUCCAUGGAAGGCAAAAGCACAAGAAGUUUUGGUGUUGAAACACAGAAACAUCAUAUUUAAGAGCAUCACCAUGGUAAGACCAAGGACCAACUCAUGAGUUUUGGAUAUUUGGAGGAGAAAAUAACAGAAAAGCUGAAUGGCUGACUCUGAAGGAAGAGCUUCAUCUGCUAAGCCACACAAAAAAGUUGAUCACUAGACAUGGACAACAUUUUUCAAAUGAAAAUUUUCCAACAAAUGAACUAACUGGAGGGCUCAGAACGUUUAACAAAUUUCUGCUGAAUGUGGCAAAUCACUUGGGAUGAAAAAAAUGCUAACACUUUGAUUAAAUUGAAAUAUUUUGUUUAGACCUGUUCAAAUGAAACACUUCCAUUUUCUGUUUAGUCAUUGCCAGAUUCCAUCUGCUGGAGCUUCAGUGUGAAAAGGUUUGCGUCAGGUGAAGAGAAAUGCUGAAACAUCUUUUAAAAUUAUUUGUUACAUUGUGUGAAGAAAAACUCAAACCCAAAGGAAAUUAAACCCCAUGAUGGCCCUGAUUAUUGCUUAGACUGAGAUGUUAUAAUGGACAUAAGGAAUUAAUUUUAGUCUAUGUUUAAAGA